rnacentral:rRNA from 1 species
UACGUAGGGGCCGAGCGUUGUCCGGAGUUAUUGGGCGUAAAGCGCGCGCAGGCGGCUUCGCGCGUCCGACGUGAAAGCCCCCGGCUUAACCGGGGAGGGUCGUUGGGUACGGCGGAGCUUGAGGGCGGGAGAGGGUGGUGGAAUUCCCGGUGUAGUGGUGAAAUGCGUAGAGAUCGGGAGGAACACCUGUGGCGAAGGCGGCUCACUGGUCCAUUACUGACGCUGAGGUGCGAAAGCGUGGGGAGCAAACAGG